rnacentral:rRNA from 1 species
UACGUAGGGUGCAAGCGUUGUCCGGAAUUAUUGGGCGUAAAGAGCUCGUAGGCGGUUUGUCGCGUCUGCUGUGAAAUCCCAGGGCUUAACCCUGGGCCUGCAGUGGGUACGGGCAAACUAGAGUUCGGUAGGGGAGAUCGGAAUUCCUGGUGUAGCGGUGAAAUGCGCAGAUAUCAGGAGGAACACCGGUGGCGAAGGCGGAUCUCUGGGCCGAUACUGACGCUGAGGAGCGAAAGCGUGGGGAGCGAACAGG